GACGAGGGAUCCUAGCGUUGUUCGGAAUCAUUGGGCGUAAAGCGGAUGUAGGUGGCUACAUAAGUCAGAUGUGAAAGCCUUGGGCUUAACCCAAGAAGUGCAUUUGAUACUGUGUAGCUUGAGUGUGGUAGAGGCUACUAGAAUUCCUGGUGUAGUGGUGAAAUACGUAGAUAUCAGGAGGAAUACCGGAGGCGAAGGCGGGUAGCUGGGCCAACACUGACACUGAGAUCCGAAAGCGUGGGGAUCAAACAGG
rnacentral:rRNA from 1 species